rnacentral:rRNA from 1 species
UACGAAGGGGGCUAGCGUUGUUCGGAAUUACUGGGCGUAAAGCGUGCGCAGGCGGCUUCUCAAGUCAGGGGUGAAAGCCCAGAGCUCAACUCUGGAAUUGCCUUUGAGACUGAGAGGCUUGAGUACGGGAGAGGUGAGUGGAAUUCCCGGUGUAGAGGUGAAAUUCGUAGAUAUUGGGAAGAACACCGGUGGCGAAGGCGGCUCACUGGCCCGAAACUGACGCUCAUGCACGACAGCGUGGGGAUCAAACAGG